rnacentral:rRNA from 1 species
GACGAACGCUGGCGGCGUGCUUAACACAUGCAAGUCGAACGGAAAGGCCCUGCUUUUGUGGGGUGCUCGAGUGGCGAACGGGUGAGUAACACGUGAGUAACCUGCCCUUGACUUUGGGAUAACUUCAGGAAACUGGGUCUAAUACCGGAUAGGAGCUCCUGCUGCAUGGUGGGGGUUGGAAAGUUUCGGCGGUUGGGGAUGGACUCGCGGCUUAUCAGCUUGUUGGUGGGGUAGUGGCUUACCAAGGCUUUGACGGGUAGCCGGCCUGAGAGGGUGACCGGACACAUUGGGACUGAGAUACGGCCCAGACUCCUACGGGAGGCAGCAGUGGGGAAUAUUGCACAAUGGGCGGAAGCCUGAUGCAGCAACGCCGCGUGCGGGAUGACGGCCUUCGGGUUGUAAACCGCUUUCGCCUGUGACGAAGCGUGAGUGACGGUAAUGGGUAAAGAAGCACCGGCUAACUACGUG